rnacentral:rRNA from 1 species
UACGAAGGGGGCUAGCGUUGCUCGGAAUUACUGGGCGUAAAGCGCACGUAGGCGGAUUUGUAAGUCAGGGGUGAAAUCCCGGGGCUCAACCUCGGAACUGCCUUUGAUACUGCAAGUCUCGAGUCCGAUAGAGGUGAGUGGAAUUCCUAGUGUAGAGGUGAAAAUUCGUAGAUAUUAGGAAGAACACCAGUGGCGAAGGCGGCUCACUGGAUCGGUACUGACGCUGAGGUGCGAAAGCGUGGGGAGCAAACAGG